rnacentral:rRNA from 1 species
GAUGAACGCUGGCGGCGUGCCUAAUACAUGCAAGUCGAGCGAACAGGCGAGGAGCUUGCUCCUCUGACGUUAGCGGCGGACGGGUGAGUAACACGUGGAUAACCUACCUAUAAGACUGGGAUAACUUCGGGAAACCGGAGCUAAUACCGGAUAAUAUAUUGAACCGCAUGGUUCAAUAGUGAAAGACGGUUUUGCUGUCACUUAUAGAUGGAUCCGCGCCGCAUUAGCUAGUUGGUAAGGUAACGGCUUACCAAGGCAACGAUGCGUAGCCGACCUGAGAGGGUGAUCGGCCACACUGGAACUGAGACACGGUCCAGACUCCUACGGGAGGCAGCAGUAGGGAAUCUUCCGCAAUGGGCGAAAGCCUGACGGAGCAACGCCGCGUGAGUGAUGAAGGUCUUCGGAUCGUAAAACUCUGUUAUUAGGGAAGAACAAAUGUGUAAGUAACUAUGCACGUCUUGACGGUACCUAAUCAGAAAGCCACAGCUAACUACGUG